UAGUAAGUACUAGAUAUCUCAAUAUUACAACUCAUUUCAAUCUCGGAUAACCCAGUGGAAAAACCUUUCUUUCUAGCUACUCAUCUCUUGUUAUAUAUCUAGAUAUAAAUAUAUACAUACAAGUACACACAAACGAUGAAGACCUCCAUCUCUUCAGCAACAAUAUUUCUCACUAUGCUUAUUCUUCUCCUCCGUUUCGUUCCAACAUCCAUUUCUGCCAGACAACUUGGGUUGCCCCCGCAGAAAUACGAUGGGGAUGAUGAAGAGAAGAAGGAGCGUCCGCUGGAAGUAGGUGUGGGGUCAAGAGUACCGGAUUGCUCUCAUGCAUGCGGUUCGUGCAGGCCUUGUCGAUUAGCUAUGGUCAGCUUUGUCUGUACAAAGUCGCUUGCUCAACCAGAAACCUGUCCUGUUUCCUAUAGAUGUAUUUGCAAUACUAAAUCUUAUCCCAUUCCUUAAACUCCAGUAUGCUCUGUAGUACUAAUCUUAUCUUAAUUAUAUUAGAAACAUCAAUUUC